GACGAACGCUGGCGGCGUGCUUAACACAUGCAAGUCGAACGGAAAGGCCCUGCUUUUGUGGGGUGCUCGAGUGGCGAACGGGUGAGUAACACGUGAGUAACCUGCCCUUGACUUUGGGAUAACUUCAGGAAACUGGGUCUAAUACCGGAUAGGAGCUCCUGCUGCAUGGUGUGGGUUGGAAAGUUUCGGCGGUUGGGGAUGGACUCGCGGCUUAUCAGCUUGUUGGUGGGGUAGUGGCUUACCAAGGCUUUGACGGGUAGCCGGCCUGAGAGGGUGACCGGCCACAUUGGGACUGAGAGACGGCCCAGACUCCUACGGGAGGCAGCAGUGGGGAAUAUUGCACAAUGGGCGGAAGCCUGAUGCAGCAACGCCGCGUGCGGGAUGACGGCCUUCGGGUUGUAAACCGCUUUCGCCUGUGACGAAGCGUGAGUGACGGUAAUGGGUAAAGAAGCACCGGCUAACUACGUG
rnacentral:rRNA from 1 species